CAUGCCCAGCUUAAUCUACCUACGAUAUUCUAUAUUCUGCCCUACGGGGAAGGAUGAGAAGCUUCGACUCAGGUUCGACUCGAGCGCCAGCGAGAGAACGUUGCCGCAGGCAACGGCCCGAAGGGCGAGAAGCGAUAGCGACGAGUUAUCCUUCCCCCUCUAUUC
rnacentral:sRNA from 1 species